rnacentral:misc_RNA from 1 species
UACAGAGGGUGCGAGCGUUAAUCGGAUUUACUGGGCGUAAAGCGUGCGCAGGCGGCCUCUUAAGUCCGAUGUGAAAGCCCACGGCUCAACCGUGGAGGGUCAUUGGAAACUGGGGAACUUGAGUGCAGAAGAGGAAAGUGGAAUUCCACGUGUAGCGGUGAAAUGCGUAGAGAUGUGGAGGAACACCAGUGGCGAAGGCGACUUUCUGGUCUGUAACUGACACUGAGGCGCGAAAGCGUGGGGAGCGAACAGG